GAUGAACGCUGGCGGUCUGCUUAACACAUGCAAGUCGAACGAACUCUUCGGAGUGAGUGGCGGACGGGUGAGUAACGCGUGAGAAUCUGGCUGUGGGUCGGGGACAACCACUGGAAACGGUGGCUAAUACCGGAUGAGCCGAAAGGUAAAAGAUUUAUUGCCCACAGAUGAGCUCGCGUCUGAUUGGCUAGUUGGUAAGGUAAAAGCGUACCAAGGCGACGAUCAGUAGCUGGUCUGAGAGGAUGAGCAGCCACACGUGGGACUGAGACACGGUCCAGACUCCGUACGGGAGGCAGCAGUGGGGAAUAUUGCACAAUGGAGGAAACUCUGAUGCAGCAACGCCGCGUGGAGGAU
rnacentral:rRNA from 1 species